UACGUAGGUGGCAAGCGUUGUCCGGAAUUAUUGGGCGUAAAGCGCGCGCAGGCGGUCUGGAAAGUCUAUGGGUGAAAUGCCGGGGCUCAACCCCGUGCAUGCCCAGGAUACUGUCAGACUGGAGACACGUAGAGGCAAGCGGAAUUUCGGGUGUAGCGGUGGAAUGCGUAGAUAUCCGAAAGAACACCGGAGGCGAAGGCGGCUUGCUGGGCGUGAUCUGACGCUGAGGCGCGAAAGCGUGGGGAGCGAACAGG
rnacentral:rRNA from 1 species